rnacentral:misc_RNA from 1 species
GCGGAGUGGGAGCCAACCACUUAGCACGAACACACUCGAUGUUUUCGAACAUCAGUUACAAAUAUUGCGUGAAAGUGGUAGCACACGAUUGCUGCGUUCGUGGAAUAGCGCACUUUUUCGUAAUUCAGCAAAAAAUCUACUGAAAAAGCGAGUCUUCCCCAGUUGCAGAAUCGGUGUGUUGUGUGUACUGAAUAUUUGUAUUUUUUUUAAUUGUGGGUGCUAUACAGGAUAAUCAUGUCUACCGCUAUAAUGUCGCAGAAUGCCAUGUACGAAUUCGGGGAGAGUCUGAUAAAGGUCGGACAAAGUAAAUUAUUCUUCCGGUAUCCUACGAAUAACGAGCAGAGCAACUAUAGAAA